rnacentral:lncRNA from 1 species
GGCGGCUCCCAUGGCAUAUGGAGGUCCUGGAAAUACAACACUGAACAAGAAAGACCCAGUUUCUACCUUCUAGGAACUCAGUCUAGUGAGCAAGACAGGCAUUACCAGAAAAAUCACACAAAUAAUUACCAAACCACAGAAUGUGGUGAUGGCAUGGCAAGGGGGAAGCUUCCUAGUCUGGUAGGACCUGGAAGACUUGACCUACCACAGGUCAUCUGAGGUCAUCUCUAAGCUAAAGAUGAGGAGUUAGCUAGGGGACAAGAUGGAAGCAGCAUGUACAAAUGUCCUGCAGGGAAUGGAGGCCUCAGUAUUCGAGGAAACUAGAGACCCUGUGUUGGAACAGAACAAGAAGAGAUCAGAACCAGGUUAGGUCUGGAGAAGGAGCAAGGGCCAGUCUACCCAAGGCCUCUAGGACACAUUCCAAACAGACAGACCCUUGGGACAGGAGAGAGUCAGAGACACAGUGAGUCUGGAUUUCAGCAGUCCCUUGACCCAGUCUUGCACAUUAUGAACAGGAUAGGAAAGUGUAAACAACAAAUAAAACAGUUCAGUAAGUUUUUGUCUUGUUUUGUUUUGUUGUCUUUUUAUGGCUGCACCCUGGACAUAUGCAAGUUCCCACUCUAAGGGUCAAAUCAGAGUUGCAGCUGCCAGGCUACAUCACAGCCAGAGCAAUGAAGAAUCCAAGCUGUGUCUGUUACACCACAACUCAUGGCACCUCCGGAUCUUUAACCCACUAAGCGGGGCCAGGGAUCAAACCCACAUCCUCAUGGAUACUAGUUGGGUUCUUAACUCAAUAAGCCACAACAGGAACUCCUGGUAGGAUUUUUUUACAUUUUCAAAAGAAGAAUGAUUGAUAUAAGCUAGAAAAAAGUUCUCUAGGGACAUGUUAAAGAAUUAAAACCUUGAACUGAUGAAACCAUCAUGGAUAUUGGCAAGGAAAAAUUGCUGCCUGGAUGACAGAAUCACAAAUCCAAAAGAUCCAGGCAAGGUGGGAAGGUGAACAAAAACCAACAGGAUGAAACACAGUAUGUGGAUUUCUGAAAUCCAGCUGUGGAAUACUUUUGCUUAAAAAUCUUGGACAAAAGCCUCACCGGUUUGUACCAACUUCUUCCUCGAACCUAAAACAACACACUACAACUCUUCCAAGGGUCCAGGCCUUAGAUGUAUAAGCAGGGCUCAGAAGCGAUGAGAGUGUCUCAAGAGAUGAGACAAGUUUAUAUUCCUCAAGAUACAUACAAACCCAGUCACAGAGGACUCUGAGCUAGUUCUGCCAUGCAAAUGGGUCUGACUAGGAGCAGGCACUGCUAUACCAAAGGAGUGAUGUAUAGUAUAAGAUAUAAGUUUGCUAGCCCCAAGAGCUGGCAGCAGAUGGCAAGGGAGAUGAGCCUCAAAGCUCAACCUUGUAAAUGGAGAACAAUCUUGUGUUUAAUGCAGUCUGCUAUCCUGGAGAUGCUGGGGAAAAUAAGGAAGUCUGUCAAUGGGGAAAAAUAAUAUAUAAAUUUUUAAAUUUAAUGUAAAUAAAUAAGUACAUAUGCUAUAUAUUUUAGGAUGGGGUAUGCCUGAUUUGACAGUGGAUCAAAAGACCCUGUGAAAAAAAGACCCCAGUAGUUUGAAUUGACCACCUGCCCAACACAAAUCAGCACUGUGGGAACUGCCAUUUGGCAAAUGCUAACCUGGACUAUAUCCAGGCAUAGGAGCAGAUGGUCCCACUCAAUUCUGGGCUGUUCUAUGGCCCUAGCUACUCUUCCAGUCACCCCUUGGGGCCAUGGGUCAUGGGGACACUAAAAAGCCAGAGGAUGUCUAAAGCAGGGUAAAGGGGGUAGUAAGGAGACUGGAGACCAUGAAAUAUGAAGAAAGUGGGGACAGCAGGAUGAGUCCACCUGAGAAGAUGGACACAGACUCUAAGAGCCAUGUUCCAAUAGUCAAGGGUUUCUCCACAGAAAAGAGAGAAGACCUUCCUUCCUAUAGUCUAGGAAGAUUAAGGAACAGGAAAGGUAUUAAAGCCAGUAAUAUCCCUGGAGGCCAAAGAGAGAACAAAAGAGAGGUUACAGGAAUGUGGACUCAGACUCAUGAAAGGCAGAACUUUCCUACCACCUGUCUUUCUAAAACAAGGGAAGGAUAACUUGUCAAAGAAGUCCUUGGCCCUGGGAUGUAUAAAUACUAACCUAUUUUAUUGAUUGAUUGAUUGAUCAAUUGAUUGUCUUUUUAGGGCCGCACAUGUGGCAUAUGGAGGUUCCCAGGUUAAGGGUCAAAUCGGAGCUAUAGCUGCCAGCCUACACCACAACGUGGGAUCCAAGCCAUGUCUCCAACCUAUAACACAGCUCACAGCAACGCCAGAUUCCUGACCGUCUGAGUGAGGCCAGGGAUCGAUCCACAUCCUCAUGGAUACUAGUCAGAUUCAUUUCUGCUGCACCACAAUGGGAACUCCCCCCAGCCAAUUUUAAAUUCAACACCCUACCCCUGUGUGCCCCAAUCCCAGUAACUCAGCUCUAUUUCCUUAAAUAUCCAUCACCUAACACACCACAUAACCUACUUAUUAUGUCUAUUGUUUAUUGUCUGUUCCCC